rnacentral:lncRNA from 10 species
AAUAGAUACUUAAACCAGUGCAACAGAACCCAGAAAUAAAUCCACACAUUUAUAGUCAACUGAUCUUUUGAUAAAGCCAUCAAGAACAGACACUGGAAAAGGACACCCUCUUCAAUAAGUGAUUCUAGGAAAACUGGAUAAUCAUAUACAGAAGAAUGAACUAAAGGAGAUAUUAUAAUUUACUUAGUGUGGUUCUUUACACACAGUAACCUUCUAACAAAUGAUAACUAUUUUUUCUCUUAUAAAAAGGGGUGUGUUAGAAAACAGGAAGUUAGUAGACUGCUAAAAGGAAAUGCUGAGAGAGACCUUCAUGGGGAGAAAAAAUGAAAGGCAGAAGGACAAUAAAGACAGCCUUUAUCUACUUCAAUCAAUUUUGACCAAUUUUGUUGCUACUAGGCAACUGUAGAAGAAAUACCCAAAUCUGGCCGGGCGCGGUGGCUUGC